rnacentral:pre_miRNA from 1 species
AUUGUACUUCCUCCGUUCCGAAUUACUCGUCGCAGAAAUGGAUGUAUCUAAUGUAUUUUAGUUCUAGAUACAUCCAUUUCUACGACGAGUAAUUUGAAACGGAGGGAGUAACUU